rnacentral:piRNA from 1 species
UAUGAAAGACUCACCAACCUACAGGAA